rnacentral:rRNA from 1 species
UGGGGAAUAUUGCGCAAUGGGCGAAAGCCUGACGCAGCGACGCCGCGUGUGGGGUGACGGCCUUCGGGUUGUAAACCACUGUCGGGAGGGACGAAUGCGCCGCAAGACGAGUGACGGUACCUCCAAAGGAAGCACCGGCUAACUCCGUGCCAGCAGCCGCGGUAAUACGGAGGGUGCGAGCGUUGUCCGGAAUCACUGGGCGUAAAGGGCGCGUAGGCGGCCUGGUAAGUAGGGGGUGAAAUCCUGCGGCUUAACCGCAGGGCUGCCUUCUAAACUGUCAGGCUUGAGCACGGUAGAGGCAGAUGGAAUUCCCGGUGUAGCGGUGGAAUGCGUAGAGAUCGGGAAGAACAUCAGUGGCGAAGGCGGUCUGCUGGGCCGUUGCUGACGCUGAGGCGCGACAGCGUGGGGAGCAAACAGGAUUAGAUACCCUGGUAGUCCACGCCGUAAACGAUGGGCACUAGGCGUCGGGGGGAGCGGACCCUCCCGGUGCCGUCGCUAACGCA